rnacentral:sRNA from 1 species
GUUAAUAUAUUAAUUGUGGCUGUACUUUAACAAAUUGGCCACCAUGCUCGUCUAUCUAAUAUUUUUCGGUGUUUUUACACCACAAAGAGUCAUUUAUGAUUGAUUUGCAAUUGAUUGCUGUCAAAAAAGUUUUGGUGUAGGGUUUGUGUUAUAAUUAUGAAUAAUUAAUAACGUUUAUCAAUCAUUUGAACUGUGAGAAAAAAAAAACCCUGGCUAAAUCAUGUAGAGUCAUGAACUAUUAGCUUUUUUCUGUUAUACAUUUGUUUAGAGUUAUUUUAGUUAUAUAAACCCUUUAUACAUUCCCAUCUUGUUUUUCUAGAACUACGUGUUCAGUACUGGUCAACUACAACCAAAGUUGGCAGAAAGCAUGCAUUUAUGAAAAAAAGAUUUUCACUUUUUACAAUACCCCUGCAAAUACCGGUAAAUAUGGUGUUUUUUUUUUGGAGGAGAAGUAAUUGAAAAUAGCUAGGUGGCUGGUAAUAUCAAAAUUUUUGAUUUUGCUUUGUUAGUAUUGUUUUCAGUAGCCAAAACCUUGCAUUUGUCUUCCUUGAUACAAUGUUUGCAAAAAAUAUCUUGAGUCUCAUAUUUUGAGAUAACUAUUAAAUACAUAAUAAAGAUCAAUUAUGUUUUUGAUUUGAAGGUUGUGUGCAGGUUGAAUAUUUUGAGUUCAUCUAUUUUUUUGUUUUGUUUUGUUGAAAACCAUUUCCAAAUAUUUGAUUUAUAAGUGGAUAUCUUUUGAUUUCCAUAAAUUCUAUCAUGAUGUGUUUUUGUGCAUAAUUCAAUAAAAAUGUAAAA